rnacentral:rRNA from 1 species
UACGGAGGGUGCUAGCGUUGUUCGGAUUUACUGGGCGUAAAGGGCGCGUAGGCGGCUCGUGAAGUCGGGUGUGAAAGCCCGGGGCUCAACCCCGGAACGGCAUCCGAUACUGGCGGGCUUGAGACCGGGAGAGGAGGGUGGAAUACCCAGUGUAGAGGUGAAAUUCGUAGAUAUUGGGUGGAACACCGGUGGCGAAAGCGGCUCUCUGGCCCGGAUCUGACGCUGAGGCGCGAAAGCUAGGGUAGCAAACGGG